UGCGUGUGCAUGUGCGUGUGCGAUCGAAGCACACAGCCCAUGACAAGUGCAGAAUCUCUGGCUCUGAAGGAAUGUACUCACCUCCUGGGCAAGCUGUACAAUUUCAUGACUUCAGACCGAUUUUGUGAGAAGCAGGACGAGUGUACCUCCAUUUUGAUGUGUUUUUUAUGGCUGUGGAGUGAAAAUUGCGGCCGCAGCAGCAAAAUAAUCAUGCUUGGUCUAGUGAAUCCAAAAGGCCCCGCCCGCAUCUAGUGAUGACGUCAGACGCUGUAGCGUGAGUCAGGCUGAAAAAGGCAGAAGACUUCAUGUUGCUCCAAGCGAAAUUGUGCAAAAACGGUAGGAAAUAGCAAAAAGGAGUGAAUACAACAUUUGUAGCAGACACGUUGCUGAACAUUUUAAAGCAAAAAUGAGGUCUGUAGGUGAAAGUAUGCAGAAGUUAUAAGGGUGAGAAGGUGUUAUAGCUGUAUCUCCAUUCAUUUGUAAUGGAACAAAUUUUGCAGAAAAAGUGAAAUAUUGCAAAAAGUAUAAAUGGUACAAAGGUGAAAAGUAAUAGCAAUAAUGUCCUGAAGGAGUGCAUUAGUAUAAAGUUUGAAUGGUUAAAAUAGCACAAAGUGGUAAGGAGUUGAAAAGGGCCAAAAAAGGUACGGAAGAAUAAUAAUAAGAAAAAAAAUAAUAAUAAUAAAGAAAUAGUAGAAUAACAAUAAGUGGAAAUGCUGUGUCAGCAUUUCCACUUAAUAAUAAUAAAGAAAUAGUAGAAUAACAAUAAGUGGAAAUGCUGUGUCAGCAUUUCCCAUUAAUAAUAAUAAUAAAGAAAUAGUAGAAUAACAAUAAGUGGAAAUGCUGUGUCAGCAUUUCCACUUAACUAGAAAAAUUGCAUUUCCUUGCAGAAAAUGCGUGGAAAUGCUGAAUGCUGAAAGCUGAAAAAGCGAUGCAAAACUGCCAUUAAAAAAUGGAGGAAGGUAUGAAUGGAAAAACUGUUGAAAAGGUGGAGUAGAAGAAGAAAUUGUAUGAAUGGAAGAAUUGUAGUAUAGCUGAAAGUAAAUUAGUUGGAUUAAUGUACAAAUUGUCUGAUAGCCUAAGUGAAAAAUGUAUAUGAUUGAUGUGAAUAAACAGAACUGAUAUGGAUAAUUGAAUUUGAAAAACAAAUGCCUUUAAACAAUGUGUAACAAUGUUCCUAUUAAAUGUACAAAUAGUAAAACAGAUUUUUGCAGUCUGCAGCAUCCAACCAUAGUAACUUGAGAAUGCAGAACAGCACCAUCUAUUGCCCUGCUUCAGUUACUGCCCUACAUCUGAAUGUAGAAAGUAUGAAACAGCUGAAGUUAAAUUAAUUGUAUAAAUGUAGAAAGUAUAGAAAAGAAAAGCAAAAGUAGAAGAAAAAGAAGAAGUUAGUAUGUUAAAAGAGUUAAAGACAAUAACUGUAAAAACAAAGUUAAUAUUGGGGGUGUAUUUUCUACUGACAGAGAGACAGUAAUGCACACAUGGAAACAGUGUGUGUGUGUGUGUGUGUGUGUGUGCGCGCGCACGAGCGGCCGAGCCCGUGCGUGUGUCAUCGAAGCACACAGCCCAUGACAAGUGCAGAAUCUCUGGCUCUGAACGAAUGUAUUCACCUCUUGGGCAAACUGUACAAUUUGAUGACUUCAGACCUAUUUUGUGAGAAGCAGGACGAGUGUACCUCCAUUUUGAUGUGUUUUUUAUCGCUGUGGAGUGAAAAUUGCGGCCGUGGCAGCAAAAUAAUCAUGCUUGGUCUAGUGAAUCCAAAAGGCUCCGCCCGCAUCUAGUGAUGACGUCACACGCUGUAGCGUGAGUCAGGCUGAAAAAGGCAGAAAAAUUCAUGUUGCUCCAAGCGAAAUUGUGCAAAAACGGUAGGAAAUAGCAAAAAGGAGUGAAUACAACAUUUGUAGCAGACACGUUGCUGAACAUUUUAAAGCAAAAAUGAGGUCUGUAGGUGAAAGUAUGCAGAAGUUAUAAGGGUGAGAAGGUGUUAUAGCUUUAUCUCCAUUCAUUUGUAAUGGAACAAAUUUUGCAGAAAAAGUGAAAUAUUGCAAAAAGUAUAAAUGGUAGAAAGGUGAAAAGUACUAGCAAUAAUGUCCUGAAGGAGUGCAUUAGUAUAAAGUUUGAAUGGUAAAAAUAGCACAAAGUGGUAAGGAGUUGAAAAGGGCCAAAAAAGGUACGGAAGAAUAAUAAUAAAAAUAAUAAUAAUAAUAAAGAAAUAGUAGAAUAACAAUAAGUGGAAAUGCUGUGUCAGCAUUUCCACUUAACUAGAAAAAUUGCAUUUCCUUGCAGAAAAUGCGUGGAAAUGCUGAGUGCUGAAAGCUGAAAAAGCAAUGCAAAACUGCCAAUAAAAAAUGGAGGAAGGUAUAAACGGAAAAACUGUAGAAAAGGUGGAGUAGAAGAAGAAGAAAUUGUAUGAAUGGAAGAAUUGUAGUAUAGCUGGAGGUAAAUUAGUUGGAUUAAUGUACAAAUUGUCUGAUAGCCUAAGUGAAAAAUGUAUAUGAUUGAUGUGAAUAAACAGAACUGAUAUGGAUAAUUGAAUUUGAAAAACAAAUGCCUUUAAACAAUGUGUAACAAUGUUCCUAUUAAAUGUACAAAUAGUAAAACAGAUUUUUGCAGUCUGCAGCAUCCAACCAUAGUAACUUGAGAAUGCAGAACAGCACCAUCUAUUGCCCUGCUUCAGUUACUGCCCUACAUCUGAAUGUAGAAAGUAUGAAACAGCUGAAGUUAAAUUAAUUGUAUAAAUGUAGAAUGUAUGGAAAAGAAAAGCAGAAGUAGAAGAAAAAGAAGAAGUUAGUAUGUUAAAAGAGUUAAAGACAAGAACUGUAACAACAAAGUUCAUAUUGGGGCUGUAUUUUCUACUGACAGAGAGACAGUAAUGCACACAUGGAAACAGUGUGUGUGUGUGUGUGCCCGCGCGCGCGCGCGGCCGAGCCCGUGCGUGUGCAUGUGCGUGUGUGAUCGAAGCACACAGCCCAUGACAAGUGCAGAAUCUGACAGAGAGACAGUAAGAGAGAAAGAGAGACAGUAAUGCACUCAUGGAAACAGUGUGUGUGUGUGUGUGUGCCCGCGCGCGCACGAGCGGCCAAGUCCGUGCGUGUGCGAUCGAAGCACACAGCCCAUGACAAGUGCAGAAUCUCUGGCUCCUAAGGAAUGUACUCACCUCCUGGGCAAGCUGUACAAUUUCAUGACUUCAGACCGAUUUUGUGAGAAGCAGGACGAGUGUACCUCCAUUUUGAUGUGUUUUUUAUGGCUGUGGAGUGAAACUUGCGGCCGCGGCAGCAAAAUAAACACGCUUGGUCUAGUGAAUCCAAGAGGCCCCGCCCGCAUCUAGUGAUGACGUCACACGCUGUAGCGUGAGUCAGGCUGAAAAAGGCAGAAAACUUCAUGUUGCUCCAAGCGAAAUUGUGCAAAAACGGUAGGAAAUAGCAAAAAGGAGUGAAUACAACAUUUGUAGCAGACACGUUGCUGAACAUUUUAAAGCAAAAAUGAGGUCUGUAGGUGAAAGUAUGCAGAAGUUAUAAGGGUGAGAAGGUGUUAUAGCUGUAUCUCCAUUCAUUUGUAAUGGAACAAAUUUUGCAGAAAAAGUGAAAUAUUGCAAAAAGUAUAAAUGGUAGAAAGGUGAAAAGUAAUAGCAAUAAUGUCCUGAAGGAGUGCAUUAGUAUAAAGUUUGAAUGGUUAAAAUAGCACAAAGUGGUAAGGAGUUGAAAAGGGCCAAAAAGGUACGGAAGAAUAAUAAAUAUAACUAGAAAAAUUGCAUUUCCUUGCAGAAAAUGCGUGGAAAUGCUGAGUGCUGAAAGCUGAAAAAGCAAUGCAAAACUGCCAAUAAAAAAUGGAGGAAGGUAUAAACGGAAAAACUGUAGAAAAGGUGGAGUAGAAGAAGAAGAAAUUGUAUGAAUGGAAGAAUUGUAGUAUAGCUGGAGGUAAAUUAGUUGGAUUAAUGUACAAAUUGUCUGAUAGCCUAAGUGAAAAAUGUAUAUGAUUGAUGUGAAUAAACAGAACUGAUAUGGAUAAUUGAAUUUGAAAAAGAAAUGCCUUUAAACAAUGUGUAACAAUGUUCCUAUUAAAUGUACAAAUAGUAAAACAGAUUUUUGCAGUCUGCAGCAUCCAACCAUAGUAACUUGAGAAUGCAGAACAGCACCAUCUAUUGCCCUGCUUCAGUUACUGCCCUACAUCUGAAUGCAGAAAGUAUGAAACAGCUGAAGUUAAAUUAAUUGUAUAAAUGUAGAAAGUAUAGAAAAGAAAAGCAGAAGUAGAAGAAAAAGAAGAAGUUAGUAUGUUAAAAGAGUUAAAGACAAGAACUGUAACAACAAAGUUCAUAUUGGGGCUGUAUUUUCUACUGACAGAGAGACAGUAAUGCACACAUGGAAACAGUGUGUGUGUGUGUGUGUGUGUGUGUGUGUGUGUGUGUGUGUGUGUGUGUGUGUGUGUGUGUGUGCGCGCGCGCGCGCGGCCGAGCCCGUGCGUGUGCAUAUGCGUGUGUGAUCGAAGCACACAGCCCAUGACAAGUGCAGAAUCUGACAGAGAGACAGUAAGAAAGAGAGACAUUAAUGCACUCAUGGAAACAGUGUGUGUGUAUGUGUGUGUGCCCGCGCGCGCACGAGCGGCCAAGUCCGUGCGUGUGCGAUCGAAGCACACAGCCCAUGACAAGUGCAGAAUCUGACAGAGAGAUAGUAAGAGAGACAGUAAUACACUCAUGGAAACAGUGUGUGUGUGUGUGUGUGUGUGUGUGUGUGUGUGUGUGUGUGUGUGCGUGUGUGUGUGCCCGCGCGCGCACGAGCGGCCGAGUCCGUGCGUGUGCAUGUGCGUGUGCGAUCGAAGCACACAGCCCAUGACAAGUGCAGAAUCUCUGGCUCUGAAGGAAUGUACUCACCUCCUGGGCAAGCUGUACAAUUUCAUGACUUCAGACCGAUUUUGUGAGAAGCAGGACGAGUGUACCUCCAUUUUGAUGUGUUUUUUAUGGCUGUGGAGUGAAAAUUGCGGCCGCAGCAGCAAAAUAAUCAUGCUUGGUCUAGUGAAUCCAAAAGGCCCCGCCCGCAUCUAGUUAUGACGUCACACGCUGUAGCGUGAGUCAGGCUGAAAAAGGCAGAAAACUUCAUGUUGCUCCAAGCGAAAUUGUGCAAAAACGGUAGGAAAUAGCAAAAAGGAGUGAAUACAACAUUUGUAGCAGACACGUUGCUGAACAUUUUAAAGCAAAAAUGAGGUCUGUAGGUGAAAGUAUGCAGAAGUUAUAAGGGUGAGAAGGUGUUAUAGCUGUAUCUCCAUUCAUUUGUAAUGGAACAAAUUUUGCAGAAAAAGUGAAAUAUUGCAAAAAGUAUAAAUGGUAGAAAGGUGAAAAGUAAUAGCAAUAAUGUCCUGAAGGAGUGCAUUAGUAUAAAGUUUGAAUGGUUAAAAUAGCACAAAGUGGUAAGGAGUUGAAAAGGGCCAAAAAAGGUACGGAAGAAUAAUAAUAAGAAAAAAAAUAAUAACUAGAAAAAUUGCAUUUCCUUGCAGAAAAUGCGUGGAAAUGCUGAGUGCUGAAAACUGAAAAAGCAAUGCAAAACUGUCAAUAAAAAAUGGAGGAAGGUAUGAAUGCAUGCAGUGAAUGAAUUGCAGUAUGCAGCAUCCAACCAUAGUAACUUGAGAAUGCAGAACAGCACCAUCUAUUGCCCUGCUUCAGUUACUGCCCUACAUCUGAAUGUAGAAAGUAUGAAACAGCUGAAGUUAAAUUAAUUGUAUAAAUGUAGAAAGUAUAGAAAAGAAAAGCAAAAGUAGAAGAAAAAGAAGAAGUUAGUAUGUUAAAAGAGUUAAAGACAAUAACUGUAACAACAAAGUUAAUAUUGGGGGUGUAUUUUCUACUGACAGAGAGACAGUAAUGCACACAUGGAAACAGUGUGUGUGUGUGUGUGUGUGUGUGUGCGCGCGCGCAUGUGCGUGUGUGUGCCCGCGCGCACGAGCGGCCGAGCCCGUGCGUGUGUGAUCGAAGCACACAGCCCAUGACAAGUGCAGAAUCUCUGGCUCUGAAGGAAUGUACUCACCUCCUGGGCAAACUGUACAAUUUCAUGACUUCAGAUCUAUUUUGUGAGAAGCAGGACGAGUGUACCUCCAUUUUGAUGUGUUUUUUAUGGCUGUGGAGUGAAAAUUUCGGCCGUGGCAGCAGAAUAAUCAUGCUUGGUCUAGUGAAUCCAAAAGGCUCCGCCCGCAUCUAGUGAUGACGUCACACGCUGUAGCGUGAGUCAGGCUGAAAAAGGCAGAAAACUUCAUGUUGCUCCAAGCGAAAUUGUGCAAAAACAGUAGGAAAUAGCAAAAAGGAGUGAAUACAACGUUUGUAGCAGACACGUUGCUGAACAUUUUAAAGCAAAAAUGAGGUCUGUAGGUGAAAGUAUGCAGAAGUUAUAAGGGUGAGAAGGUGUUAUAGCUGUAUCUCCAUUCAUUUGUAAUGGAACAAAUUUUGCAGAAAAAGUGAAAUAUUGCAAAAAGUAUAAAUGGUAGAAAGGUGAAAAGUAAUAGCAAUAAUGUCCUGAAGGAGUGCAUUAGUAUAAAGUUUGAAUGGUUCAAAUAGCACAAAGUGGUAAGGAGUUGAAAAGGGCCAAAAAAGGUACGGAAGAAUAAUAAUAAGAAAAAAAAUAAUAAUAA
rnacentral:lncRNA from 1 species